AUACCAGCUGGCUGCAACUGUUUAUUAAAAACACAGCACUGUGCAAACACGAAAGUGGACGUAUACGGUGUGACGCCUGCCCGGUGCCGGAAGGUUAAUUGAUGGGGUUAUCCGUAAGGAGAAGCUCUUGAUCGAAGCCCCGGUAAACGGCGGCCGUAACUAUAACGGUCCUAAGGUAGCGAAAUUCCUUGUCGGGUAAGUUCCGACCUGCACGAAUGGCGUAAUGAUGGCCAGGCUGUCUCCACCCGAGACUCAGUGAAAUUGAACUCGCUGUGAAGAUGCAGUGUACCCGCGGCAAGACGGAAAGACCCCGUGAACCUUUACUAUAGCUUGACACUGAACACUGGUCCUUGAUGUGUAGGAUAGGUGGGAGGCUUUGAAGUGUGGACGCCAGUCUGCAUGGAGCCAUCCUUGAAAUACCACCCUUUAAUGGCUGGUGUUCUAACGUGGACCCGUUACCCGGGUUGCGGACAGUGUCUGGUGGGUAGUUUGACUGGGGCGGUCUCCUCCUAAAGAGUAACGGAGGAGCACGAAGGUUAGCUAAUCCUGGUCGGACAUCAGGAGGUUAGUGCAAAGGCAUAAGCUAGCUUGACUGCGAGAGUGACGGCUCGAGCAGGUGCGAAAGCAGGUCUUAGUGAUCCGGUGGUUCUGAAUGGAAGGGCCAUCGCUCAACGGAUAAAAGGUACUCCGGGGAUAACAGGCUGAUACCGCCCAAGAGUUCAUAUCGACGGCGGUGUUUGGCACCUCGAUGUCGGCUCAUCACAUCCUGGGGCUGAAGUAGGUCCCAAGGGUAUGGCUGUUCGCCAUUUAAAGUGGUACGCGAGCUGGGUUUAGAACGUCGUGAGACAGUUCGGUCCCUAUCUGCCGUGGGCGCUGGAGAAUUGAGGGGGGCUGCUCCUAGUACGAGAGGACCGGAGUGGACGCAUCACUGGUGUUCGGGUUGUCAUGCCAAUGGCAUUGCCCGGUAGCUAAAUGCGGAAGAGAUAAGUGCUGAAAGCAUCUAAGCACGAAACUUGCCCCGAGAUGAGUUCUCCCUGAGACUAUAAGUCUCCUGAAGGAACGUUGAAGACGACGACGUUGAUAGGUCGGGUGUGUAAGUGUAGCAAUACAUUGAGCUAACCGAUACUAAUGAACCGUGAGGCUUAACCUU
rnacentral:rRNA from 1 species